UACGAAGGGGGCUAGCGUUGCUCGGAAUUACUGGGCGUAAAGGGCGCGUAGGCGGAUAUUUAAGUCAGGGGUGAAAGCCCGGGGCUCAACCUCGGAACUGCCUUUGAUACUGGAUAUCUUGAGUUCGGGAGAGGUGAGUGGAAUGCCGAGUGUAGAGGUGAAAUUCGUAGAUAUUCGGAAGAACACCAGUGGCGAAGGCGGCUCACUGGACUGGUAUUGACGCUGAGGUGCGAAAGCGUGGGGAGCAAACAGG
rnacentral:rRNA from 1 species